GCGCUUGCUCCAGCAGCACAUAUACUGAAAUUGGAACACAGAGUAUAGUAACGCGGGCCCUGCACAGGGAUGAUACUCAAAUUCCUGAAGCACUCCGUAUUUUU
ensembl:snRNA U6 U6 spliceosomal RNA